ACAUUCGUGUCACAGUGUGAAUGUGCCAACACUUUCUGGGCAUCUAGUAAGCAGCCACAUAAAAUUCACAAUAUGUCUACAUAAACUGAGGCCAUUCCAAAGCAUUCGCAACAAAUUCUCAUUAAAGUCCGAUAAGUAGCAGUAAUUUCAAGCAAAAAAAAAAAUGUCUGACAAACCUAAGGCAAAGCCCGUGGCCAGCAAGGGCGGCCGGGUUGUCACCAAGGAGAACAAGCCUGUGGUUAAGCCACAGCCAGUGGUACGCACCCCAACAACCCGUACGAAUCAACAUGAUCGGAUUUGGAAGAUCAUGAAAAUGUAAUCAUGACAGCCAUUCGACUUCUUUGUUGGUAUAUGCACCAAUUAACAUGAUCGGAUUUAGAAAAUCAUGAAAAUCCAACCAUGAUGGCUGCAAUUCGACCUCUUAAUUGGUAUACGCAACAAUCCACAUUAUCAGAUUUAAUAAAUCAUGGACACAAUAACAACAAUAAUUCGACCAGUUACAAUAGUCGGCACAGCUACCCCCCGAACACCACACCACCACGAUGUUCUCUUUUAAAUUUUUAUCUUAGCCUAUUUAUUCUGAAAUAAUUUAAAAUAAAAGUCCCGGUUUGGUUACUGCUGGGCGCUGGGCGCUGAAUAAAGCGAAAAUGUCCCAGCACAA